UUCGCCGCCCGUCGGUGUCAACUGGCAUGUCCUGUGGAACGUCCUGCCGGUGGCGGACCGGGCUUUCGGCUUGCGUAAGGGCUUACGCUCGAAGCAGGCCGAACAGUACCGGCCGCCGGUCCAAUCCCGCCACGGUGCUCUUCACCGAGUGUCGAGGUGGGCCGGCACGUUUACUUUGAACAAAUUAGAGUGCUUAAAGCAGGCUGGUGUCCGCCUGAAUACUGUGUGCAUGGAAUAAUAGAAUAGGACCUCGGUUCUAUUUUGUUGGUUUUCGGAACCCGAGGUAAUGAUUAAUAGGGACAGGCGGGGGCAUUCGUAUUGCGACGUUAGAGGUGAAAUUCUUGGAUCGUCGCAAGACGAACCUAAGCGAAAGCAUUUGCCAAGUAUGUUCUCGUUAAUCAAGAACGAAAGUUAGAGGUUCGAAGGCGAUCAGAUACCGCCCUAGUUCUAACCAUAAACGAUGCCAGCCAGCGAUCCGCCGAAGUUCCUCCGAUGACUCGGCGGGCAGCUUCCGGGAAACCAAAGCUUUUGGGUUCCGGGGGAAGUAUGGUUGCAAAGCUGAAACUUAAAGGAAUUGACGGAAGGGCACCACCAGGAGUGGAGCCUGCGGCUUAAUUUGACUCAACACGGGAAACCUCACCAGGCCCGGACACCGGAAGGAUUGACAGAUUGAGAGCUCUUUCUUGAUUCGGUGGGUGGUGGUGCAUGGCCGU
rnacentral:rRNA from 1 species